rnacentral:rRNA from 1 species
GAUGAACGCUGGCGGCGUGCCUAAUACAUGCAAGUCGAGCGAACGGACGAGAAGCUUGCUUCUCUGAUGUUAGCGGCGGACGGGUGAGUAACACGUGGAUAACCUACCUAUAAGACUGGGAUAACUUCGGGAAACCGGAGCUAAUACCGGAUAAUAUUUUGAACCGCAUGGUUCAAAAGUGAAAGACGGUCUUGCUGUCACUUAUAGAUGGAUCCGCGCUGCAUUAGCUAGUUGGUAAGGUAACGGCUUACCAAGGCAACGAUGCAUAGCCGACCUGAGAGGGGGAGAGCCAACACGGACACGGAGACCCGGCCCAGCCUCCUACGGGAGGAGGCGGGGGGGAUUUUUCCGCAAGGGGGGAAGGCCGGACGGACCACCGCCGGGGGAGUGAUGAGGGUUUUCGAACAAUAAAACUUGUUAAUGGGGAAAAAACAUAUUUGAAAGUAACUGUACACAUCUUCGGGACCCCAAAUAAAAAGCCCACGCCAAAAACGGUC